UGUACCAGUAGCUUUGUUUAGAGCUUCAUCUUUGCUUCUUUCUGUCUGACACGCAAUAAGAGGAUUAUCUCUGAGAUUUCCAAAUGUUUAAAAAAAAAAAUGCACAAGUCUAAUAUUUUGAACUGAUGCAGUUUUCAAAUUAUAACAAAUUAUCAAGAGAAAAAGUCCUCCAAGGUGGGACUUUAAUCUAUAAAUCUAUAAAAUAGCUUCUAUACUGUACUUGCACUGCCCCAAAUUAUGCACCCCUAAGAAAGUUGCCUUCGAUGUCAAAUAUAAUGUGCUCUGAAUUGUCCAUUAAAAGUAAACAUACAUUUUUCUCCUGCCCUCCAUUGCCAUUGUAAAGAAUUUUGUUCUUCAGUCACCCAAUGCAUUCGUCGAUCUGAAAACCAGCAAUCUCUUUUGGUAUUUUGCAGUAAGGUCUUCAAGCUUUAAGUGUUCAACAAGCUAGUUAUACUACACAUUUAUCAUUUUCUUUACAAAUGGUUUUAGCUACAUUAAUUUUGUACCUUUUUUAUAUAUAUAUAUAUAAAUAUAUUUAAAAUGUUCUCUUUUUCUUAGAUGGUAUUUUUUGUUCUUUAGGAAAUACCCUUUGUUUUCAAUAGUUGCAGCUUGAUGAUGACUUGUGAUUUUGGUGUAUUAUAAGGAUUUACAAUUUCCAGUAACUUGCCAAUAAAAACAUGUUGAAAUGUGCACCCUUCAACUCAGAAUUUGGCUACUUGGAUCAAAGUGACGAGAUCUUUGAUUGUUAUAAUUAGCUACUCUCAAUGUCGUUGUUGUUGUUGGGUUUUUUUAAAUAGAUAAUUUAAUUGUUACCAACUUUUCAGCAGCGCAAAAGCUGGGGUGUAACCAAAGACUAAGCGUGCGCAUAGCUUGAUCAGUCAUAUCACCUUUUUAGAGAGAAUUAAAUAAUGAAAUAGCAGAUUUUUGGUGUAAUUUGACCUAUUUUACAACUGAGGAAACUGUUGAAAUGUCUUACAACCCAGAACAUUCCUGUAUGCAAUAGACAUGGGUCGCUAUAGGAUUUUCACAGUUUGACGGUUAAAGAUUAAUGUAAAGACUUAAGUCAAAAAUGCAUGUCCUGACCAUAUUGCAGCACAUUUGGAUGAACACUGUGGGUAUUACAGUUUUAUAAUCUGACAUUUCUAUUCGUAUCAUAUGUCUAAGUUCAUACAAGUCUAAAUAAGUGUGCAUAUUGCAUUUUUAUCAUCCUGCUUUUUAUUAGAUCAUGUGGGAUGUACCUCAAGAUAAUUUAUAAACUUUGGUCGAGGUAAGUGGCCCAUGCCUCUUAUGCAUAUGAAAGCUCUCACCAGCAUUAGUGAAACAACAGUUUCAAAACUCUGUGCUUACACACUGUAGAUUUUUGUUUACAUGCUCAUAUUCACUCCAGGCCGUGUUCUGUUUAAGUGGACAUUAAACGCGUGAACAGAAUGUCUUAAAAAAGAAAGAAAUUUGAAAAUUAGGUCAAACAUCUAAAUGUCAUUUUGACUCAUGAUUUCAAUCUGUGUAUUUUCUCCAAACAAAACUGAAUUAUUUGGUUUGCAUGCUAAAACUGAAGGGAAACUGCACAUUACAAAUAUGUUUGGUAAGACAAAUCACAGAAGGUUUAGAUUUGUUUUGUUUUGUUUUUUUUUAUUUAAAGCAUUUGUCUGCACAAAUUUGAAGCAAAAGUGCAUAAGAACAAAUGUUAGUGCUGCAGAGUAGCUUUGUCUGGAUGUUUAUUUAACCCACAAUGACACCUUGUCAUGGAGAACUGUUAAUAGUUUUUUUUUUUCUUUCUUUAAAUUGGAUUGAAGUUACUCAUGACCUGAAGCCGAUUAUAUUAUACCUCUGUUCUGGAACUUUCCCACCUGUCUUGUAAUUUUGCUGGCUCAGCCAACGUCUUACAAGCUGAGUCUAAGAUACGUUUACUUUUAUUUCACAAUGAUACAAGUGUUAGUUCUAUGCAUUGACCUAAAAGUGUUCGAACUGUAUGCCCAGGAAAUCUUCUUAAUGGCUAUACCUUUUACGUGCAUAUUGCCAGGAUCCAUCAAGAGCCUUUGCAAUAGAUUGUACUGUCAGACCAACCAGCUGCUCUCCCUUUUAGAGGCAAUCUGGAGUCAAAUGCGGUUGUGAAGGACACUUUAAAACAUUCUGAUGUCUGCAUUCCUACAUACAGAUCAUAUUGUAUUUUCUUCUUAUUGUGAUGACAAUUGUGUAUUCCAAAACAAGCAUCUUUCCAGCAAAUGUCCUAUGAAAGAAGCUUCUUGGAUAAAGUGAAGUUCCUACAUGUCACUUGUGAUGUUGUAUAAUGUUAUAUAGUUGUUACUUUUUAUUUUUCCAUACACGUUGUUCCCUCUGCUUGCUAUAAACGGAGCAUAUCCACUAAAACGCAGCCUGUUAGAAUCGAUGUUCUUCAAGCAAUGAUCUCAAUAGGCUUUCCAGCUAUCCAACAUUUACGACUUCUUACAGUGUACACUAAUAAAGCUGUUUUACUUCAAUGAA